AUUGAACGCUGGCGGCAGGCCUAACACAUGCAAGUCGAGCGGUUGAGGUAGCUUGCUACCGAUGCAGCGGCGGACGGGUGAGUAAUACAUGGGAAUCUGCCUGGUAGUGGGGGACAACGUUUCGAAAGGAACGCUAAUACCGCAUACGCCCUACGGGAAAGGGGGGAUCGUCGACCUCACGCUAUCAGAUGAGCCUAGGU
rnacentral:rRNA from 1 species